rnacentral:rRNA from 1 species
UACGGAGGGUGCGAGCGUUGUCCGGAAUCAUUGGGCGUAAAGGGCGCGUAGGUGGCCCGGUCAGUCUUUGGUGAAAGCGCGGGGCUCAACCCUGCGUCGGCCAGGGAUACUGCCGCGGCUCGAGCACUGUAGAGGCAGGCGGAAUUCCGGGUGGUAGCGGUGGAAUGCGUAGAGAUCCGGAAGAACACCGGUGGCGAAGGCGGCCUGCUGGGCAGUAACUGACGCUGAGGAGCGAAAGCGUGGGGAGCGAACAGG